rnacentral:rRNA from 1 species
GAUGAACGCUGGCGGCGUGCUUAACACAUGCAAGUCGAACGAUAUCCAUUAGCAAUAGUGGUGAAAGUGGCGAACGGGUGAGUAACACGUAGGUAACCUGCCCUGAAGCGGGGGAUAACGGCUGGAAACGGUCGCUAAUACCGCAUGAGUCCAUUGAAGCGGGAGCGAGAUGGAGAAAAUCAAGGUGCUUCAGGAGGGGCCUGCGUCCGAUUAGCUAGUUGGCGAGGUAAGAGCUCACCAAGGCGACGAUCGGUAGCUGGUCUGAGAGGACGAUCAGCACACGGGAACUGAGACACGGUCCCGACUCCUACGGGGGCAGCAGUGAGGAAUAUUGGGCAAUGGGCGGAAGCCUGACCCAGCAACGCCGCGUGAAGGAU